rnacentral:rRNA from 1 species
UACGGAGGGGGCAAGCGUUGUUCGGAAUUACUGGGCGUAAAGGGCGCGCAGGCGGCUGCUCAAGUCAGGCGUGAAAGGCCUGGGCUCAACCCGGGGAAUUGCGCUUGAGACUGGGCUGGCUUGAGUGCGGGAGAGGAUGGUGGAAUUCCCAGUGUAGAGGUGAAAUUCGUAGAUAUUGGGAAGAACACCGGUGGCGAAGGCGGCCAUCUGGACCGGCAUUGACGCUGAGGAGCGAAAGCUAGGGGAGCAAACGGGG